rnacentral:tRNA from 1 species
AGUAAGAUGCCUGAAAAAGGGAAAUUCUGAUAGAAUUUAUAAUGGACCUCCUCUUACUA